UUGUCAGAGUGGAGGUGCUAAGGAGUAGGGAAAACCAGAAUGGGGUAUCACAUCUUGAACUAGGGUGAGAACCCCUUAAUGAGGUGGCCAGAGGCACUUCCAACAUUUCUCUGUUCCUUAAGAAAGGUAUCUAUACCUGUUAAGAUACCUUAACCAGGUAUCUCUUUGCCUGUAACAGGCAGGGAAGGUGGGUGGGGUUCUCUCCUCCCUCCCUCCCUCCUCCUGGGGUGGGAGGGCGCUCCUAUUCCCAUCUCUGUGUUCCCUGGAGGCAGGUAUCACAAAGCAUUUGUGAAUUGCUUUAGGUGCAGGGACACCACCCACUCAGGACUCUUCCCCAUCAUCCCUUCCAUUGCCACACCCUAGAUCCAGCCUCAGGA
rnacentral:lncRNA from 1 species